rnacentral:rRNA from 1 species
UACGUAGGGUGCGAGCGUUAAUCGGAAUUACUGGGCGUAAAGCGUGCGCAGGCGGUUUGUUAAGCCAGAUGUGAAAGCCCCGGGCUCAACCUGGGAACUGCGUUUGGUACUGGCAAGCUAGAGUACGGCAGAGGGGGGUGGAAUUCCACGUGUAGCAGUGAAAUGCGUAGAGAUGCGGAGGAACACCGAUGGCGAAGGCAGCCCCCUGGGCUAACACUGACGCUCAGGCACGAAAGCGUGGGGAGCAAACAGG